UGACCUUCACGAAAGCCGAAGGAGGCGG
rnacentral:piRNA from 1 species